CUGCUGGUCCAGGCAUCAAUUCUCCAGUUGCUGGCUGAUGUGAAGGUCUCUGAUGUAGAGGAACAAAGUCAACCAAAGAAAAUCAGGUUGUAAAAAUGAAAGAAAAACUUCAUUAGGAGGAUUAGUUAUUAAGCUUCCCAAGCUCAAACUCGGAGAGUCUGAUGAAGCAGUUAAGUGACAGCCAGGGACCUACAAAUUGAACAAGCACACCGGACUUGAAAAACCAGUCUUGGUCUACCUACUGGAGUGUGCCAUACAUGUAAUCAUCAUUUGGCAGGUGUGUGGGGACCUCUGGCAGCCUCCAUUGUUUAGCUGGUGGGCCCAGCUCACAUUCAGUCCUGAGCGAGCUGUGCUUUCUGUAAGCAGCUGACUUCUACCAUCUCCGGCUCUCAGGAUCCAAAUACACUUGGUGGUUUUGUGUAAAAAUAAUGCACACUCCUUCCCUGUGGCUGAGGAUGAGAAGAUGGCGUUGGGUCGUGAUAGAUGGGAUUUAUUCCCCAAGCUGUUUGGAACCGCGAGCCGAUUGAAGGAGGAGAAGAAGGCCAUUGUCAAUGCUGCUGAUUGUUGACGCCUCAUCACCUGGAACACCUAGUACAUGGGAUAAGCUCAAGAAGCAAGUGAAGUCUCAAGGUCGUACUGCUUCAGCAUGCAGACAGACAGAAUUGGGUAUCCUGUAAGAUGUGGAUCAGUGAUGCAAGAGCUUUAUACAGCCUCAAUGAAGACAGCAGUGAGACUGAGCGAUCAGCUUAUCACAAAUCACUCUUCUGCUUCCCUGGGAGUGCGCUCUGCAACAAAGCAUUAAGCCGGAACUUUUGCCUUAGGCCCUGAUUUCUGAGAGCCCUUGGCCAUGAAAGUCUUUUUCCUCGUUCUCACUUUUCCCUACAGAUUUGUUCAAAGACUGGUGUUAUCAUCACCUUUUUGAGACCCUAUAAUUGAGAUUUGGAGAUAUUGAAGCAAAGGAGAAGUUUAUUUUGAAAUGCCUCUGUUAGCUCAUGGCUUUCACUGUAAAUACAGAUGGUGGGAAUGUAAUAGGGAAGCACCUCUGUUAAUUGUAUUAUCCUCAACUUGUCAAUGAAUUUUAAGUACAUUCUGGUUUGCAUUUCAUAUCAUCUUAACAGUGACAUCUUCACAUCUCGUGUUUUCC
rnacentral:lncRNA from 1 species